GUGGCCAUGGAGAAAAGGAUUAACUCGUCGACCUCCGGAGUCGAAGAUUGUGGGUUCGAGUCCCACUGGCCGCA
rnacentral:tRNA from 1 species